rnacentral:ncRNA from 1 species
UAAUAUGGCAAAGCUAAUGAAAAUUAGUGACGCAAAGCUAUAGGGGCUAAGCCAAUAUUUGGUAUGCCAGCCAGUUGCCAA